UUUGAGGAGCAGAAAAAAAUUGUGAUCGAUCACAAACGAAGCAGCCUAAAAGAGCUUUAGCUAUUAAGACAAAAACAAAUCGACACCAAACUACAAUGGGAACUCGUAUUAUUACUACAUGUUGUACAAUGCAAAAUAUAGUGAUAUGUCAUAUCGUUCAAGUGGCUGAGUCCGUCGCUUUAGAUAAAACGGUGAAAUUUUAUUUUACCUUAAGUUCACAAAACCAAACCGUCUUUUCACCCGCAAGAUGAACGAAGAACAAUGUAUGAACGAAUAACUUCGAAUUCAUUUCAUUGACUGGAGAAANCGAUUCUUAAAUUGCAUAAAAACUUCUCAAAACCAGUGAAGGAUGAUUCCCCAGCAAGAAGAACUCUGCAUGAGGUAUCUGAAAGCAACAUCGAUGCCUCAAAAGGGAAUAAACAACCCGUGGAAGGUUGCAGCAAUGUAAGUUUUACAAAUCUUCAUUUAGUAGUUACAACAUCGUUUUAUGGAACUUUAAAAUAUAUUCUGCAUUUAAUGUUCGUCUGCAUUUUGUUUUUGCCAUACUUGAUACUUAUUCAGAAAUGCUAUUUUUAAGAAAUUUAGGAUGGGAAUACUUUUACUUAGUUU
rnacentral:lncRNA from 1 species